rnacentral:rRNA from 1 species
GAUGAACGCUGGCGGCGUGCUUAACACAUGCAAGUCGAACGAUGAACCGGGUGCUUGCACUCGGGGAUUAGUGGCGAACGGGUGAGUAACACGUGAGCAACCUGCCCCUGACUCUGGGAUAAGCGCUGGAAACGGCGUCUAAUACUGGAUAUGUCCCGUCACCGCAUGGUGUGCGGGUGGAAAGAUUUUUCGGUUGGGGAUGGGCUCGCGGCCUAUCAGCUUGUUGGUGAGGUAAUGGCUCACCAAGGCGUCGACGGGUAGCCGGCCUGAGAGGGUGACCGGCCACACUGGGACUGAGACACGGACCAGACUCCUACGGGAGGCAGCAGUGGGGAAUAUUGCACAAUGGGCGGAAGCCUGAUGCAGCAACGCCGCGUGAGGGAUGACGGCCUUCGGGUUGUAAACCUCUUUCGUCCGGGACGAUAAUGACGGUACCGGAAGAAGAAGCCCCGGCUAACUUCGUGCCAGCCGCCGCGGUAA